UACAGAGGUCUCAAGCGUUGUUCGGAUUCAUUGGGCGUAAAGGGUGCGUAGGUGGCGAGGUUAGUCAGGUGUGAAAUCUCGGGGCUCAACCCCGAAACUGCACUUGAUACUGCCUUGCUAGAGUACUGGAGAGGAGUGUAGUAAUUGAUCGGUGUAGCAGUGAAAUGCGUAGAUAUCGUAAGGAAGACCAGUGGCGAAGGCGAAUCUCUGGACAGUUACUGACACUGAGGCACGAAGGCCAGGGGAGCAAACGGG
rnacentral:rRNA from 1 species